UGGGGGACACCUGAUACUUCGCAUUCAAC
rnacentral:piRNA from 1 species